CUCCGCCGAUUCAUUCUUUCCGGGUUUCGUGCGUAGCACGGGCGGUUUUUCUUUUUUAAGCAAAAUUCACCAUUCUAGUGGCGUUUUUUUGCUAAUUUUGUGCUAGUGAAACGGCUACAAGCUAAAUUAUAAGCGAAUACAACUUGCAUUGGGGGUGACGAAAUGAAUUUCUGCAAAAUUUCGAUAUGAUAAAUGGUCUAAUAACUUCAAUACUAGCUGAUCGAGAAAAGGCACGUGUCCUCAAGAAAAGUCAACUGUGGGCAGCUUCAGGCAGCAUGAGGUAAGGAGGCGAGAAUGGC